rnacentral:tRNA from 1 species
AGUGUCACGCCAGCAUGAAAGGGUUACCUUGAUGAAGUAAAAUAUAAGAAUUUUUCUUUGACACUC